rnacentral:tRNA from 1 species
GCCGGGGUGGCUCAGUCAGUUGAGCGUCUGACCUCAGAUCAGGUCAUGAUCUCACAGUUCGUGAGUUCGAGUCCCACACUGGGCU